AGGGGGGGACCCGAGCGCCAAGAUGGCGCAGGCCCUGUCGGCCGAGGAGUUCCAAAGGAUGCAGGCGCAGCUGCUGGAGCUGCGCACCGAGAAUUACCGGCUGUCGGAUGAGCUGCGCAAGAACGGCGCCGAACUGUCGGGGCUGCGGCAGAGGGUGCAAACACUGGACAGGGACCUGGCCAAGGCCAACAAGG